rnacentral:rRNA from 1 species
UACGUAGGGUGCAAGCGUUGUCCGGAAUUAUUGGGCGUAAAGAGCUCGUAGGCGGUUUGUCGCGUCGAAUGUGAAAACCCGGGGCUCAACCCCGGGCCUGCAUUCGAUACGGGCAGACUAGAGUUCGGUAGGGGAGACGUGGAAUUCCUGGUGUAGCGGUGAAAUGCGCAGAUAUCAGGAGGAACACCGGUGGCGAAGGCGGGUCUCUGGGGGCCGAAACUGACGCUGAGGAGCGAAAGCGUGGGGGAGCGAA